rnacentral:rRNA from 1 species
UACGAAGGGGGCUAGCGUUGCUCGGAAUUACUGGGCGUAAAGGGCGCGUAGGCGGACAUUUAAGGUCGGGGGUGAAAGCCCGGAGCUCAACUCCGGAACUGCCAUUGAAACUGUUUAGCUUGAGGACGAGAGAGGUGAGUGGAAUUCCCAGUGUAGAGGUGAAAUUCGUAGAUAUUGGGAAGAACACCGGUGGCGAAGGCGGCUCACUGGCUCGUAUCUGACGCUCAGGCGCGACAGCGUGGGGAUCAAACAGG